AGUAGCCCUAGCCAACCAGAACACGCCGCGUGGCAAGGAAGCUAACGCGGGACGGAGCCACAUGGGCGAUCCGCGUGCACGCGAUCGAACGAUCCAGAUCUUACGCAUGUGGACGGCUCAAAUCUCACCCGCACGGACGACCCAAAUCUCACGCGUGCGGACGGCCCAGAUCGCAUUGUGAUGAACGGCCUAGAUUUAUUCCUAUUUUAAUCGCGAUCAGACGAUCCAGAUUAAAUCGUGAUGGAUGACUGAGAUUAAAAGGGGAAGGUUAUAAAUAACCUCACCCACACCUGACCCCAAACCCUAGUCACUAGUACCCUCGCCGGAGAAGAAGAACCAGUCACCGGUGGAGCCGGCCGCCGCCACCCGC
rnacentral:lncRNA from 1 species